GAUGAACGCUGGCGGCGUGCCUAAUACAUGCAAGUCGAGCGAACGGACGAGAAGCUUGCUUCUCUGAUGUUAGCGGCGGACGGGUGAGUAACACGUGGAUAACCUACCUAUAAGUCUGGGAUAACUUCGGGAAACCGGAGCUAAUACCGGAUAAUAUUUUGAACCGCAUGGUUCAAAAGUGAAAGACGGUCUUGCUGUCACUUAUAGAUGGAUCCGCGCUGCAUUAGCUAGUUGGUAAGGUAACGGCUUACCAAGGCAACGAUGCAUAGCCGACCUGAGAGGGUGAUCGGCCACACUGGAACUGAGACACGGUCCAGACUCCUAAGGGAGGCAGCAGUAGGGAAUCGUCCGCAAAGGGCGAAAGCCUGACGGAGCAACGCCGCGUGAGUGAUGAAGGUCUUCGGAUCGUAAAACUCUGUUAUUAGGGAAGAACAUAUGUGUAAGUAACUGUGCACAUCUUGACGGUACCUAAUCAGAAAGCCACGGCUAACUACGUG
rnacentral:rRNA from 1 species